rnacentral:rRNA from 1 species
CCAAUAGCGUAUAUUAAAGUUGUUGCAGUUAAAAAGCUCGUAGUUGAAUUUCGGGAUCAAUACGUCUGUCGUGCCUUUGGUACGUACGGGUGUAAUUGGUUUCUACCUUCUGAGGAUCCUUGAUGUCAUUAAUUUGGCGUCUUGGGGAAUCAGGACUGUUACCUUGAAAAAAUUAGAGUGUUUAAAGCAGGCAUACGCUUGAAUACAUUAGCAUGGAAUAAUGAAAUAGGACGUUCGAUUCUAUUUUGUUGGUUUCUAGGAUCGACGUAAUGAUUAAUAGGGAUAGUUGGGGGCAUUAGUAUUCAAUUGUCAGAGGUGAAAUUCUUGGAUUUAUUGAAGACUAACUACUGCGAAAGCAUUUGCCAAGGAUGUUUUCAUUAAUCAAGAACGAAAGUUAGGGGAUCGAAGACGAUCAGAUACCGUCGUAGUCUUAACCAUAAACUAUGCCGACUAGGGAUCGGAUGAUGUUAAUUUUUUAAUGACUCAUUCGGCGCCUUACG